UUGYUUACCCSSGRAAAGRAAUUNRASGGUUYKGUUUUCCCCWUCCGCCCUGCGCCCUGCGGGGUGCGGGGUGGACGCGAGGCGGGCUCCGUGUUCCCCGCGCGCCGAGUGCGCUGACGCUCGGCCGCUGUGGCCCACGGGGUCUCGGCCCGUGCUCUCGGAUGCGGAAUGCUGUGUGCGGGCGUGGGGGGGGUCUCGGCCCCCGCUCGUCCGAGCUGCACGCAUUGUCCCUUGACGUGAACGACCGCCGCGCCCGUCUUGAGAUCGGCCGACCGGGCCCCCGUCGCGGGGCUCCGGGGGGGCGGCUCAUGCGGGC
rnacentral:misc_RNA from 1 species